UGGCGGCAGGCUUAACACAUGCAAGUCGAACGCCCCGCAAGGGGAGUGGCUACCUGGUGAGUAACGUGUGGGAACAUACCCUUUCCUGCGGGAUAUCUCCCGGAUACUGGGGUUAAUACCGUGGACGCCCUACCGGGGAAAGAUUUAUCGGGGAAGGAUUGGCCCGCGUUCUAUUAGCCUCUUGGUGGGGUAAGAGCCUACCUGGGAUACGAUCCAUAGCUGGUCUGAGACGAUGAUCAGCCACAUUGCCACUGAGAUCUGGCCCGAACUCCUACCGCAGGGAACCGUGGGGAAUAUUGAAACAUGGGCGCAAGCCUGAUCCGGCCAUGCCUCGUGAGUGAUGAAGGCCUUGAGGUUGUCAUGCUCUUUCACCGAAGAAGAUCUUGACGGUAGUCGGAAAUUACACCCCGGAUAACUGCGAGCCGGCAACCACCCUAAUACAAAGGGGGCUCCCGUUGAUCAGAAUUACUGGGCCUCCAUCCCACCUACGCGGAUAUUUAAGUCGGGGGUGAAAUCCCUCAGAUCUACUGUGGAACUGCCUUUGAUACUGGGUAUGUUGAGUAUGGAUGAAGUUCCUGGAAUUCCAAGUGUAAACUUGAUUUUCAACUGUCUUCCUAGGAUCUCCAAUGGCGAAGGCGAAUUACUGGUCCAUUACUGACGCUGAGGUGCAAAAGCAUGAGGAGCAAACGCGAAUGCAUACCCUGGUACUACAACCCAUACACGAGUACUGUUACCCGUCGAGCAAACUAGAGUACAGUACCCUGGCUUCCACAUUAAACAUUAUGCCUGGGGAGUACUGUCCCUUGAUUAGAACUCCUUCGAAAUGACAGGGGUUCACACGAGCGCUGGAGCAUGUGGUUCACUUCGAAACAACUCACAUAACCUUACCAGCGCUCGACAUUCGGGGGAUGCACGUGGUAUACUAUGUCCUUCAGUUAAGAUCGUCCCAUAACUCUUGCUGCAUGGCAGUCGUCAGCUCAUGUCUUGGGACGUUGGGAUAUCUCCAGACACGUGCGCAUCGCUCGUCCUUAGCUCGCGUCAUUUAGUUGGGCACUCUAUGGGGACUGCAGGUGAU
rnacentral:rRNA from 1 species